rnacentral:rRNA from 2 species
AAAUUGAAGAGUUUGAUCAUGGCUCAGAUUGAACGCUGGCGGCAGGCCUAACACAUGCAAGUCGAGCGGUAGCACAGAGAGCUUGCUCUCGGGUGACGAGCGGCGGACGGGUGAGUAAUGUCUGGGAAACUGCCUGAUGGAGGGGGAUAACUACUGGAAACGGUAGCUAAUACCGCAUAACGUCGCAAGACCAAAGUGGGGGACCUUCGGGCCUCAUGCCAUCAGAUGUGCCCAGAUGGGAUUAGCUAGUAGGUGGGGUAAUGGCUCACCUAGGCGACGAUCCCUAGCUGGUCUGAGAGGAUGACCAGCCACACUGGAACUGAGACACGGUCCAGACUCCUACGGGAGGCAGCAGUGGGGAAUAUUGCACAAUGGGCGCAAGCCUGAUGCAGCCAUGCCGCGUGUGUGAAGAAGGCCUUCGGGUUGUAAAGCACUUUCAGCGGGGAGGAAGGCGGUGAGGUUAAUAACCUCAUCGAUUGACGUUACCCGCAGAAGAAGCACCGGCUAACUCCGUGCCAGCAGCCGCGGUAAUACGGAGGGUGCAAGCGUUAAUCGGAAUUACUGGGCGUAAAGCGCACGCAGGCGGUCUGUCAAGUCGGAUGUGAAAUCCCCGGGCUCAACCUGGGAACUGCAUUCGAAACUGGCAGGCUAGAGUCUUGUAGAGGGGGGUAGAAUUCCAGGUGUAGCGGUGAAAUGCGUAGAGAUCUGGAGGAAUACCGGUGGCGAAGGCGGCCCCCUGGACAAAGACUGACGCUCAGGUGCGAAAGCGUGGGGAGCAAACAGGAUUAGAUACCCUGGUAGUCCACGCCGUAAACGAUGUCGAUUUGGAGGUUGUGCCCUUGAGGCGUGGCUUCCGGAGCUAACGCGUUAAAUCGACCGCCUGGGGAGUACGGCCGCAAGGUUAAAACUCAAAUGAAUUGACGGGGGCCCGCACAAGCGGUGGAGCAUGUGGUUUAAUUCGAUGCAACGCGAAGAACCUUACCUGGUCUUGACAUCCACAGAACUUUCCAGAGAUGGAUUGGUGCCUUCGGGAACUGUGAGACAGGUGCUGCAUGGCUGUCGUCAGCUCGUGUUGUGAAAUGUUGGGUUAAGUCCCGCAACGAGCGCAACCCUUAUCCUUUGUUGCCAGCGGUUAGGCCGGGAACUCAAAGGAGACUGCCAGUGAUAAACUGGAGGAAGGUGGGGAUGACGUCAAGUCAUCAUGGCCCUUACGACCAGGGCUACACACGUGCUACAAUGGCAUAUACAAAGAGAAGCGACCUCGCGAGAGCAAGCGGACCUCAUAAAGUAUGUCGUAGUCCGGAUUGGAGUCUGCAACUCGACUCCAUGAAGUCGGAAUCGCUAGUAAUCGUAGAUCAGAAUGCUACGGUGAAUACGUUCCCGGGCCUUGUACACACCGCCCGUCACACCAUGGGAGUGGGUUGCAAAAGAAGUAGGUAGCUUAACCUUCGGGAGGGCGCUUACCACUUUGUGAUUCAUGACUGGGGUGAAGUCGUAACAAGGUAACCGUAGGGGAACCUGCGGUUGGAUCACCUCCUUACCUUAAAGAA